CACGUAGGGCGCAAGCGUUGUCCGGAAUUAUUGGGCGUAAAGAGCUCGUAGGCGGUCUGUUGCGUCUGCUGUGAAAACCCGGGGCUUAAUCCCUGGCUUGCAGUGGAUACGGACAGACUAGAGGUAGGUAGGGGAGAAUGGAAUUCCCGGUGUAGCGGUGAAAUGCGCAGAUAUCGGGAGGAACACCGGUGGCGAAGGCGGUUCUCUGGGCCUUACCUGACGCUGAGGAGCGAAAGCGUGGGGAGCGAACAGG
rnacentral:rRNA from 1 species